GACGAACGCUGGCGGCGUGCUUAACACAUGCAAGUCGAACGGUAAGGCCCUUCGGGGUACACGAGUGGCGAACGGGUGAGUAACACGUGGGUGAUCUGCCCUGUACUUCGGGAUAAGCCUGGGAAACUGGGUCUAAUACCGGAUAGGACCACUGCCUGCAUGGGUGGUGGUGGAAAGCUUGUGCGGUGAGGGAUGGGCCCGCGGCCUAUCAGCUUGUUGGUGGGGUGAUGGCCUACCAAGGCGACGACGGGUAGCCGGCCUGAGAGGGUGACCGGCCACACUGGGACUGAGAUACGGCCCAGACUCCUACGGGAGGCAGCAGUGGGGAAUAUUGCACAAUGGGCGCAAGCCUGAUGCAGCGACGCCGCGUGAGGGAUGACGGCCUUCGGGUUGUAAACCUCUUUCAGCACCGACGAAGCGCAAGUGACGGUAGGUGCAGAAGAAGGACCGGCCAACUACGUGCCAGCCGCCGCUGUAA
rnacentral:rRNA from 1 species